rnacentral:rRNA from 1 species
AUUGAACGCUGGCGGCAGGCCUAACACAUGCAAGUCGAGCGGAUGAAGGGAGCUUGCUCCUGGAUUCAGCGGCGGACGGGUGAGUAAUGCCUAGGAAUCUGCCUGGUAGUGGGGGAUAACGUCCGGAAACGGGCGCUAAUACCGCAUACGUCCUGAGGGAGAAAGUGGGGGAUCUUCGGACCUCACGCUAUCAGAUGAGCCUAGGUCGGAUUAGCUAGUUGGUGGGGUAAAGGCCUACCAAGCCGACGAUCCGUAACUGGUCUGAGUGGAUGAUCAGUCACACUGGAACUGAGACACGGUCCAGACUCCUACGGGAGGCAGCAGUGGGGAAUAUUGGACGAUGGGCGAAAGUCUGAUCCAGCCAUGCCGCGUGUGUGAAGAAGGUCUUCGGAUUGUAAAGCACUUUAAGUUGGGAGGAAGGGCAGUAAGUUAAUACCUUGCUGUUUUGACGUUACCAACAGAAUAAGCCCCGGCUAACUUCGUG